rnacentral:rRNA from 1 species
CGUGGAUUGAUCUGUCUGGUUUAUUCCGAUAACGAACGAGACUCUAACCUGCUAACUAGUGGUGCGAUAGUUUCGUCGUAUCUACUUCUUAGAGGGAUAAGCGGUGUUCAACCGCAUGAGAUUGAGUAAUAACAGGUCUGUGAUGCCCUUAGAUGUUCGGGGCUGCACGCGCGCUACACUGGAAAGUGCAGCAAGCGUUAUCUUCCUUGGCCGAAAGGUCUGGGUAAUCUUUUGAAAGCUUUUCGUGUUUGGAAUAGAGGAUUGCAAUUAUUUCUCUUGAACGAGGAAUUCCCAGUAAGUAUGAGUCAUUAGCUCAUGCUGAAUACGUCCCUGCCCUUUGUAC